rnacentral:tRNA from 1 species
GGGGGUAUAGCUCAGUUGGUAGAGCGCUUGCAUGGCAUGCAAGAGGUCAGCGGUUCGACUCCGCUUACCUCCA